ACGGGUGAGUAACACGUGGGCAAUCUGCCCUUCACUCUGGGACAAGCCCUGGAAACGGGGUCUAAUACCGGAUAUCACUUCUACAGGCAUCUGUGGGGGUUGAAAGCUCCGGCGGUGAAGGAUGAGCCCGCGGCCUAUCAGCUUGUUGGUGAGGUAAUGGCUCACCAAGGCGACGACGGGUAGCCGGCCUGAGAGGGCGACCGGCCACACUGGGACUGAGACACGGCCCAGACUCCUACGGGAGGCAGCAGUGGGGAAUAUUGCACAAUGGGCGAAAGCCUGAUGCAGCGACGCCGCGUGAGGGAUGACGGCCUUCGGGUUGUAAACCUCUUUCAGCAGGGAAGAAGCGAAAGUGACGGUACCUGCAGAAGAAGCGCCGGCUAACUACGUGCCAGCAGCCGCGGUAAUACGUAGGGCGCAAGCGUUGUCCGGAAUUAUUGGGCGUAAAGAGCUCGUAGGCGGUCUGUCGCGUCGGAUGUGAAAGCCCGGGGCUUAACCCCGGGUCUGCAUUCGAUACGGGCAGACUAGAGUGUGGUAGGGGAGAUCGGAAUUCCUGGUGUAGCGGUGAAAUGCGCAGA
rnacentral:rRNA from 8 species